rnacentral:RNase_P_RNA from 1 species
GAACUAGGUUGGAUGGUCGCGCAUUGUUAUGCCGAAAGGUAGCAGUGUGAGGAAAGUCCGUGCUUCACAGGGCAGGAUAGCUGAUAACGUCAGCCAGAGGUGACUCUCGGGAAAGUGCAACAGAAAAUUACCGCCUCGUAAGAGGUAAGGAUGAAAACGCGAGGUAAGAGCUCACGAUAUUCUGUGGUAACAUAGAGUAGGUGUAAACCCUAUCUGAAGCAACACCGCAUAUGGAAAUUUUAUUUGCCCGAUAAGGCUUUCGCCGUUUCCAUGGGUGGCACGCAAUUUUGCGGAGCCUUGUGGUGACACAAGGCAAAGAUAGAUGACCGUCGAAUACAGAACACGGCUUAUAGAUUUAGUUCAAUU